UACGUAGGGGGCAAGCGUUGUCCGGAUUCAUUGGGCGUAAAGAGCGUGUAGGCGGCCAGGUAGGUCGGUUGUGAAAACUGGAGGCUCAACCUUCAGAGGUCGACCGAAACCAUCUGGCUAGAGUCCGGGAGAGGAGAGUGGAAUUCCUGGUGUAGCGGUGAAAUGCGCAGAUAUCAGGAAGAACACCCGUGGCGAAAGCGGCUCUCUGGAACGGUACCGACGCUGAGACGCGAAAGCGUGGGGAGCGAACAGG
rnacentral:rRNA from 1 species